AACUACCGAGCGAUCCAUUAAAUAUGAAUUUCAUAAUCUGAAACAUCAAUUACUGCAUCAAUUAGUAUAUAUCAGGGAAAAACAUAGAAACAAUAUAGUUCCGAAACAUAUGUGUCCUCUAAAAUCAGAAUCGACAUGGACAAAAAAAGGAAUUGUUGACAAACAACACUUGGAUGACGCAAAUCAUUCCAAGCCUACAAUUGAUAACAUGGUUGGGAACACAUAUGCCUGCCACGCAACUCUGUACAGGCCAGCCGCUGAGUGAUGUAUGUAAAUAAGGAUCUCACAAACUGCAACGAUAAUUGUUGCAUCAAUAUAUAAUAGGAAAGAUUUCAUAAAGAGCAAGGGUAUUACUAAUGGCACGGGGCAAGCAUUAUUGGCAUCUUGGCAGUCACUUAAUGGAUCAAUCUUUUGAUCGUCAUCUUCAACCUCCUUAGACAUUCUGGACAUCUUCUCUUUUAAAUCACAUGAAUGGUCUUCAAAUAGCAUUACCCACGAGGAUAUGCCUCAUUACCGCAAGCCACGCCGACGCAUACACCACAAGAAGGAGCAGCAUCACAUCCACGUCCUUCUCUGUGGUGUGGUGACGGUUGUGCCCGCAGAGCGCCGAGGAGCGAUGGCAACCUAGGUUAGGGCGGCACGAACAUGGUGACAACAAGAGAAAUAGGGAAGGAUAAGGUGCAUGAAAGAGGCAGGUCAAAGCCGCGAGGACGUACCUUGAGGACGGCGCUUCCUGACGUCCUCCUCCUUGAUGACGAGGAAGCACCAAGGGCAGCUUGAUGCUUGCCGGCGUCUUCCCUGAUGAAUUGGAGCCAAGCACUACAGGGUCAGAGGUGCAGCGCCUCGUGCUUCUCCCGCUGAGCAUAUAUAAGCAAUCAAACAAGAAAUGAGAUGCUAUAUGUGAAUAAUAUACGAAUAAGGAGAUGCUAUAUAAGUGACCAGCAGCGCGCAUUGGCGCGUGGUGCUGGGUCCGAUUGUUGUACCAAAGCGUGUGUUCCAGCCACGCAAGCUUAGCAUGUUUAGUGGCCUAUGAUAAAGCAAAAGCAUUUAUCCUAGAUCACAAAUGCGUGCGAUUGCCGCACCCGUCCAUGUAGAGGAAAGAACUACAUAGAUAUAGAAAAAAUGCAUGAAACAAUAGAAAUAUACAAAUUGUUUCAACAGUAAAUAAAAGUCAAAGGGUAUGUUUGGGGGUAACAUCCAUCAAGCCAGUAAUUCAAUAGCAUACAAUUUUUUUUGGUGAGACUAAAUGGUUUAUUCAUAUAAAGAAUAUACACGCAAAUUAAAAACUAUCAUUAGCAUUCAUGAUUGCACAUGGUAGUAAAUACUAAGAAAAUUAUUUAGUUGUGAUUUAUAUAACUGGUAUCACAACUAAUAAAAAUUAGUAGAUUACAGGUAAAUUAAGUAUAUCACCCUACAGUGUUUCAUCAUCUGUGCUAGUUUCACAACAUUAUAUAAAGACCUAAUUGCCACUAUCUUCAAACAUGACUAAGGCAAUCAACUGAAAAGUGAUGCCUUGAGUGGCAUGGUUCGCCACCCCAGUCUGUCCAUGAUGGAAGCUAUGGAGGCGACAAUCAGUUGGGUACCGCUUAUCAUAGUGAAGCAUGUCCAACCUGUAUUUGGCUAAUAUCUAUUUAGUCAAGCAUGCACAUAUAAACUUCUGCACUUCUUUAGAAAGAGCAAGAUUUAUACGAGUAUGCAGCGAAAUAAAGCAACAAAAUAAUAAUUAGCUUGUUAGAUUUUGGUAUAAAAUAAGAAGUUAUGGCGAACCUUCACAUCUAGUAAUAUCUUAUUUAUCUGUCCAACAUGAUCAGGGUCGUCGAUACAGCAGAGGCAAACAGUCACUGCCUUUUGAAUGUCCUGCAUACAGUAGAAGAACUACGCGUUAGUAUAUAUAUGAUGUCAAUUUUAUUUAACUUCACAAAAACACAAAUUUUACGCCGACCUACUUCUAAUCUGGUUCGUGUUUGUGCAACCUUCUCGGACUCCAAUGACAUUUAUCUAACCCAAAUAGCCUUUUGUUGUUUCUAGCGUCACUUUCAACAAGUAUAACUUUAUUAAUUCCUAGCCUGACCUGCUGAAAGUAUAUCUUUAUUAAUUGCGAGCCUGACAACAUAUAUAUUUUUUCAGUUUGACAUAGAAGCACAUUUCCAGUUCACCAUGAAGCAAAUUAAGGUAUGCCUUGCUGCCGCGCAACGAUAUUUCUUGUGCUUUCUCACGAAGCCAUUGCCUUAUUAUAAGUGCUUUUUCUUUUCUUUUCUUUUUCAAAUCCCUACAAAACAAUAGAUAUUCGAGUAUAUCCUCUGAAACUUAAAAUGGGGCCAUAUAUAUUCCGUAAUCAAGACUUCUGGACGGAUGCUAGGUAUGUAUUAGUUUGGUUUGGUUUCAUCUCAAAGAUUCAGCGCAACAGACCCUGCUGUUACUGCAUGAAUAAGCUGAAUAUUUCUGCUGCUAGCGAGUAACAGCCUAACAUGUCAUGUAUUUUCUCUAUCUAAUUUACGGCGGGACGGCGACUGCUUUGAUGUGCACUACAUCCUCGAUGACCCACCUUGUGUUGUGCCUCUGGUGCGCCCACCGACGUGGUAGUUGCGUCCACUGCCGCUAUCUCUGCUUACUCCAUAUCCUACAUCAACCGCCUUGCUAUCUUCCGCUCGGGCAGUACUCAACAUCAUAAUUUGGUGGCUGACAACAGGCCUCUUUCGCCUUGUCAACCUCCAAGCCCUUAAGUGCUGCGCUGGCAGCACCAUAGGUCCAGCUCCCUCCAAGGGCAGAAAUGAACAUGGCAGCAUCUUAAUUAAUUAAUAUUAAUAGGAUGGAUUAGUGUUAAGAAUACGAAUGGGGAAGUAGCUCAAAUGAUAACUGAAACUCCAGAUCAUUCAUGUAUCCCUCUAAACCUUCGUAACUGAAACAAACUCCAGGACCUCCUCUUCAUCCAGUCAGCACCGCAUAGCGCCAUGAAAAUGCAAGGAAAGGACGAGGGGGCUCACCUUGGCUUGAUUCCCGUCUGGUGUUCCUCCUAUCGAUGGCGACAAUGCGCUCUGGCGCUCCUCCUGGAAGCAUCUGCGCAAGCGGCAGCCUCCACUCGUCCCGAUGAUGGCAACACAGCGAGCCCGACGCGGCCUCCUCCAUGAUCUGCCUGAAUCAAGCAAUUGACCCAAAACAGGAUUAAGAAACCCCGUACAAAAAUGAGAUUGGAAAUACAUUAUCAUAGGGAAUUGUUGGUGGAAGAGGGGCAGAAAAAAUAAGAUGGUGAGCAAUAUAGUCGUGAACCAUAGCUUUUCCACCUUCUGCUGCUAGAGUAAGAAGGGCGGGCCUGUACGCGGCUGGCAGAGGAGGAUGGUGUGUCACGUUAGGUCAAGAAAUCAUGUAUCCAAGGCCAGCGCCCACGGAAAAACUAUUUUUAAUGCACAAGAAGCCAAAAAAAUUGUCUCAGCAGACAGAAAAUAGUAAACAUUUAAACUAAAGCAAGCAUCCAACAGUUUAUCAACAAAUAACUGACACAUCCCAUUGUUAGAAUGUAGUAGAAAUAGUGAACAUCAACAAAAAAAAAGAAUAACAGGGAAAAGAAAAAAUAUAGCAGAAAUAUUUACUAUGUGUUUGCGAGUUUGUCUUUUCCUAGCUGGAACAUCGUUAGAAUCACUGUUUCAAAGUAAGUCGAAAAUGCUCAAAAGAAUAGUUGUCACCUGGCUUAUGUUUGUGAGUUUGCCUUCUCCUAGCUGGAACAUCAUUAGAAUUAUAAAACCCUCCCAUCCCUACAGAAUGUCGAAAAAGAAACAAUUGGGCUAUUAGAUAGAAGUUAAAUUUCAUAGAAUCAACAUCUGAAAGAAAGCACUGAGAGGCAAUCAUAUAAUUAAAUUAUGAUAACUGGAAAGUUUUCUAAUACAAGUAAAUAAUUAACUUCAACCUUGCACUGAUCAUAUAUCUUUUGAACCAGAGAUAAGGGUCAAAAUAUAUUACUGUUAGCAUGAGAAUCCAAGAAUACUUGCUCUCGCACUGCACUAAUGCAAACCCCAUUGUACCAAACUACAUGACAAUCCUUUAUUUGGGACAUGAAACUGCCUGACUAAUGGUCGAAUUAUAAAACCUUAAUUAUAAUGGUCGAAUUGAAGGGGACAAAUCACCAUGUUUAGUAUUUGACCCUCUUACAGUUAUCACAGGGUUUCUCAUCACCAACCAAUCUGCACAAAUCUUACUGAUUGCUACACAUCCGAGGUCCGGUGCAAUAACUAAUCCUGCUCCAUGCACAAAGAAACAACAAAUGCAGGUCCUACCAGGAUUCGGACAAGGAACAAAAGGCAUAUAGGUACAUACAAAAAAACAAGCAAAGAGAAUAAUACACUUGACUUUUCCACAAACAAGACAAGAAACAAAAAGCCCUCAUUGGCCAGCCUGCACACCAAUCAUAUGGCCAUACAACCAUGCAACAAGCCUUGGAAACGAAGAGGAGUGGAAAGGAGGAGGAGAAGAGGUGUUGACCUGCAUAUCCAUGAAGGGAGAUGCAUGAGGCUGCUACCAG
rnacentral:lncRNA from 1 species